rnacentral:lncRNA from 10 species
CCAUGAGAAUGGAGGCCAUUCAUAGCAGAACUACGAGACAAGAGGAGCCUAGGUCCCUGAGCUGCAGAACUGCAUACUAACCUGAUGAGAAGACUAAUGCUCAGUGAGGUGAACUCCUUCAGGGCCACAGGCUGUAAAGAUCUAAACACCAUCUGAUCCAGUUUCAAUAUGACUGCCUGGAUGAAGAAGGAUUUGAGACUAAGUUUAUUCCUCCAAAGCAAACCAACUGAGAAUGCAGUUUCUGAGGACCUUGGCUCAUUUCAAAAUCUGGAAAUAUAUUUGAACACCUCUCCCAGAAGUGGGUAAGAAGUUAGAAUAAUGGAAAGGCUUGGCUCCAAGUUCAGUUGAAUGUCAAAAAGCCCAAGUUUGGCUGAAUGGACUUUGUGUCGUGAAAUCUCAGCUCCCUCUCUCUUCUUCCAGGCCAAAUACCUACUGGAUGAAACUGAUAAAAUUAAACAAAGAGAGA